GGUAUCGGCAUUUCCAGUGGAGGAAGAUCAAGCUCAUUGUCAAGACAACAAGAAAAAACCACCUCAAUUGCAUCCAUUGCCACCUCCUCCGCUACCUGAAACGAACAAUGUCAACAAUUUCGAUAUGAUGCCGGCUUUCCCUAUGAUCACCAAUCCUGUUGUAUUGCGUGUCCCAAUUGAGAGUCCAAUGGAAAACUUUUCAAUGGGACAGGGCAAUCCGGCCACUAACCCCUCAGCAAAUCUCAUCCGACCAAUUCCUGUCCUAACCCCUCAUGCUUCUGAAAUAUCUGAUUUUAACUUAAAUUUGAAGUCAACCGUGGACCUGCCGCCGUUGUCACUCAAGCUGUCUUCACUCUCUGAUCAGAGGGAAUCAUCACCAAGGCCUUCAGCAUUUCAGGUGAUGCCGAGCUCCAACAAUGGAGAUAGCAUCAUCAGUGUUGCUUAAGCAUAAUAACGUUGCAAAUGUGGAGGCGGGUGCAUUGGUUAGAUGGUGUGAAUUAGAGAAGA
rnacentral:misc_RNA from 1 species